CUUCCCGUGGUGUAGUUGGCAACGCGUCUGUCUAGUGAGUAGAAAACGUGAGUUCGAGUAUCACCGAGAGGA
rnacentral:tRNA from 1 species